CGGGAACAAACAAUCAGUGGAGAUCUUGGCAGUCAAAGGAGAUUCAGCCAAAGAGAUUGUAAAAGCAAAGGGAGAUCUGACCACAAUGAAAGGAAUGAAGACGAAAAGAAAGGAUGAGAAAAAAACGAUGACGACGCGACGGUGACGGAGAAGGGGGUAGCAAUGACACAAAGUGGUGCAGACAGCGGUGAUGAAUGAGGAUUGGUGACACAAACAAAAAGAAGUAUGAAAAACAAUUGAGAGGAGACAAGAUGAGGGACA
rnacentral:lncRNA from 1 species